GAUCCUGGCUCAGGAUGAACGCUAGCGACAGGCUUAACACAUGCAAGUUGAGGGGCAGCAUGAGGUAGCAAUACCUUGAUGGCGACCGGCGCACGGGCGAGUAACGCGUAUGCAACCUGCCCGAUACCGGGGUAUAGCCCAUGGAAACGUGGAUUAACACCCCAUAGUACUUUUAUCCUGCAUGGGAUGUGAGUUAAAUGUUCAAGGUAUCGGAUGGGCAUGCGUCCUAUUAGUUAG
rnacentral:rRNA from 1 species